rnacentral:lncRNA from 1 species
UGGGGAGGUUGGACUACAUGACCUUUGGAGGUCCCUUCCAGCCUGGAUCAUUCCAGGAUUCUAUGAUUCUGUGCAAUGUAUGUAUGUCCACAGCUGGCUUCACUGCAUGGUUGCAAGGACCAUGCAAAACCUACUUUACCAUUGCCCAUCCCAGGCAGCAGGUGCUCCUCCGGACACAGCUACCAGGAGACUUCGCUGCCCAUCCAGACUCAUGUUUCAACACAGUGGCAAGGAAAGACGAAGUGGGAGCUAGACAUCCUACCUUCCACUUGUUGCGAUUUUCACUAUCCUAUUCACCGUUCCCUAACUUAUCGAAGUCUACAGUUAUAGAAGAUGUGUGCUUGAAAAUCAGAUCAUUCAAGUUUCAACAGGACUGGCAAGUCUAGCCCAGACAAAGCCUGAUUAUGAUCAUCCCAGCUCCCUUACAGCAAAGGAAACACGCUUCAAAGAUUAUAUGUAUUUUUAAAUGGCACUA